CCUACGGGAGGCAGCAGUGAGGAAUAUUGGUCAAUGGACGAGAGUCUGAACCAGCCAAGUAGCGUGAAGGAUGACUGCCCUAUGGGUUGUAAACUUCUUUUAUAUGGGAAUAAAAUGUUCCACGUGUGGGAUUUUGUAUGUACCAUAUGAAUAAGGAUCGGCUAACUCCGUGCCAGCAGCCGCGGUAAUACGGAGGAUCCGAGCGUUAUCCGGAUUUAUUGGGUUUAAAGGGUGCGUAGGUGGAUUGUUAAGUCAGUUGUGAAAGUUUGCGGCUCAACCGUAAAAUUGCAGUUGAAACUGGCAGUCUUGAGUACAGUAGAGGUGGGCGGAAUGCGUGGUGUAGCGGUGAAAUGCUUAGAGAUCACGAAGAACUCCGAUUGCGAAGGCAGUUCACUGGACUGCAACUGACACUGAGGCUCGAAAGUGUGGGUAUCAAACAGGAUUAGAUACCCGUGUAGUC
rnacentral:rRNA from 1 species